CUAUACAUGCAGUCGAGCGGACAGAUGGGAGCUUGCUCCCUGAUGUUAGCGGCGGACGGGUGAGUAACACGUGGGUAACCUGCCUGUAAGACUGGGAUAACUCCGGGAAACCGGGGCUAAUACCGGAUGGUUGUUUGAACCGCAUGGUUCAAACAUAAAAGGUGGCUUCGGCUACCACUUACAGAUGGACCCGCGGCGCAUUAGCUAGUUGGUGAGGUAACGGCUCACCAAGGCGACGAUGCGUAGCCGACCUGAGAGGGUGAUCGGCCACACUGGGACUGAGACACGGCCCAAACUCCUACGGGAGGCAGCAGUAGGGAAUCUUCCGCAAUGGACGAAAGUCUGACGGAGCACGCCGCGUGAGUGAUGAAGGUUUUCGGAUCGUAAGCUCUGUUGUUAGGGAAGAACAAGUACCGUUCGAAUAGGGCGGUACCUUGACGGUACCUAACCAGAAAGCCGCGGCUAACUACGUGCAGCCAGCCACAUAA
rnacentral:rRNA from 1 species